rnacentral:rRNA from 1 species
UACGUAGGGUCCAAGCGUUAAUCGGAAUUACUGGGCGUAAAGCGUGCGCAGGCGGUUAUGUAAGACAGAUGUGAAAUCCCCGGGCUCAACCCUGGGAACUGCAUUUGUGACUGCAUAGCUAGAGUACGGUAGAGGGGGAUGGAAUUCCGCGUGUAGCAGUGAAAUGCGUAGAUAUGCGGAGGAACACCGAUGGCGAAGGCAAUCCCCCUGGACCUGUACUGACGCUCAUGCACGAAAGCGUGGGGGAGCAAACAGG